CCACGACCUCAGCAGGAGAGGGGGUGCUGGCCGGCCCGCCGGUGGCAAGGGCACGGCCCCCCGCUCUGCCCCUGCGGGCACGGGGCCGGCCUGGCACCCGGGGUCCGCGUCCCGAGCGGCUGUGCACUCACCGAGCCAGGCUGCGAGGGGCAGAGGGGCGCCCGCGGCUAGCCGGAGCGCUGAGGCGCCUCCCUUUUCUCUUGGUAGCGUCGGUCCGCACUCCCUGUGACCCAGGACGUCAUGAUGCCUGUCUGUUUUCUCAAUGAUAACUUGGCAGAAGAAGAGAGAGGCUGCCAGGUUCUCCUCGGGUGGUUACGUGACCAAACGCCGUCCCUGCUGUUUGUCACCAAUCCACAUACCAGUGCAGGCAGCCAAGUGGUUUCCUUCCCCAGGGUGAGAUGUCUGAGCAACUAGAAGAGAGCAGAGCACAGUAUUCAAGUGCUCCAAAGAUGUCCCUAGAAAACAAUCAAGUCAGAUCGAUGACAAAACUAUUUAACUGGAGAAGCACAUUAUGAUGAAGAAGAACCUGAUGUGGGGGUGAAGAGGGUGAGCAAGUAUAUAAUUGUAGUAUUGGGGAAACUAUCAUAAAAUUAAUCAUUAUGGGUUUUUUGGCUGUUAUGAGCCUUUGUCUGAUAAGUUUUUUUUUUCAUUUUCUGAGUUAACUAAUGCUUUCUUAUUUGAAAGAUAAGGAAAUAAGUGGGAACUGGUGGCCAGAAGAUGCGUGAGCUAGCUCACCUUAGAUGGGCUACUGGUCAGCAGUGUGUGACCUCUGCAAAUUAUUUAAUCAUGCUGUGCCUCAGUUCCCUGCCUACACAGGAUGGAACAUAUCUCCAAGUUCCUUGCAAUGGCUCAAUUAGAAUAUGACAGAGAGAAAGAGCAAACAAGAAUAUUUGGCCCAUGGUGGGAUUAGUUUUUUGGAGCAUACUAGAAAGAAUCUAGAGAACUCAGGUAAAAUUAGCCAAGUUCAUAUUCUAAUCCACAGUAUAGAAAAGGGUAGCUCUGAAAAACUAAGUUCAUAUGCAAAAGCAUAAUCAAAUUUAUAUUUUCCCAAAGUAUCCCCGUUAGACAAAAUUAUUAAUAACUAUGUGUACCAAUAACCUAUCAUUUCUGCCAAAAUGUUGUUAGUCAUCAUUCAUACUUGCCUACAUGACCAAAUUGUUGUAUGGACUCAAUUUGAUAUAGGUUAAUUCAGUCUGUGUUGCAUGAUGUCUUCAAUUCACAGGUAGUUUGAAUUGAAUCCUGAUACUAGUUGAAGAGCAGAGAUCUAUCAAUGAAGAGACUUAGGAGCUAGAACCUGAAGGGGCCUUUUUGCAUAUUUCCUUAUUGGAACUGAUUUCAGUAAGCUUCUCUGUGUGUUCCUUUCCUUAUUUAUUCUUCUCAUUUUAUUUAAUUUUAUUUGUGGUGCUGGGGAUUGAACUCAGGGCCUCAUACAUGUCAGGCAAGUGCUGUACCACUUAGAUUAUCCCAGCCCUCCUUUAUUUAUUCUUAGGUAUUGAAUAGUUUGAUAUUAUUCACUUUCUAUCCAGGUUUUUGCUGAGGAAAAUAAUAUAGUAGAAAUGAAAAGGAUGCUAUUAAUUCAAAUAAAAUAUUAUGUCAGAUUUGCUUUGUUGUACACCUGAAUUAAUGUUUCUAAAAGGUUUUGCAAAGUUAGUAGAACAUGUGGAGACAAGAAUUCAGGCCUUGUUGAGAAUCCAAGUUGAUCCCUACCACCCUUUACUAGUUAAAGGACCUCACAAAAUCCUAGAGCUUGGAAGAAUCCAUUGCCCUAUCCAUAAUACAUUUUUAGAUGAUGUGGUACAGACUCUGGGAAAACAGACAGCUAAUCACAUCUCAGCAAAAACCAAAUUCAUUAGAACAUUUACUUAAAAUAGGAAUGUAUAACAAAUCUCUGACAUGGAAAUAUGAAAAUAAUUUCAUAUCAGGCAGGGAUCCUCAACCAGGUUUCGUGCUAGCUGAAACCUGGAUAUCCAUGGAUGAGUUACAAAGAUCUUGAAAUUAUAGGCCAAGUGAACAUGUGUAUAUUGUUCUCAAGAGAAAUCCACAACUUUCUUCACAUUCCUUUAUGACUCCAGAAAGGUUAAAAACAACUGAUACAAAAACAAGUUAUUUUAAAUGAACUUAAAAAAAAAAAAAGAUACACAUUCACUGAAGUCAAAUGUCACACUGGUUACAACAUGGAUAGUAUAUAAUAAUUAUCAGUAUUCAGAAUGAUGGCCUUGAGACACGAUGAAAGCCUCAUGUCAAAGAAAUUUACUUAACUGACAAUUCGAAAAUAUAGCAGCCUAUUCAAAUUAUUUGAAUACUGAAUUGAAAUGAGGUUUCCGUUUUUGUCCAAGCGGGUUGGACAAUCCUCUGUGUGCUAAGCAAGGUAGAUUCAUGUAGGAAAAUAAUCAUUGUUUCAAGGAGUAGUUAGGAGUCCACUGCAGCUGAGGUGGCAAAGAAUGAGGAGGAAGAACUGGAGGGAUAUUUGGCAGGGGACUGGAAUUCACAGACUUUCAUGUCUGGUUUAGGCAACUGAGUUAAAUGUUAUUAAAGAGAUAAAAAAAAAAAAAAAGAUUAAGAAAAUAAUGAAUUUGGUUUGAUAUACGUUGGCUUUAAAGUCCUUUGGAACAGCCCAAUUCCACCAGCCCUGGGAAAAAUUAAGAACAGAUUUGUGGCUGGAGAAAUUUAUUUGGAAUCAGCAAGCAGUGAAUUGGGGAUGGGUUAGGCUGGUAAGACACGUGGCAAAAAAAAAUUAUGAACAUAAAGGACUUAGAGUCUGGAGUAAAGUUGCAGUUAUUUGAAUGAGAUCUAAUUUGCAAAAUGUGAAAUUAUAUAACACCCAAGGCAAAACAGUAUUAGUGAUUUUAAGUAUUGGUAGACAGCUGUACUGUAGCAUACAUUUCAGAAAAGAACAAUCCAUCUCAGAAUUCUACUUCCCCAUGAGGUUUUUCUGGACUUCUUUCAAGACACAGUUUUCCUUUUGAGAUACCACUUUCCCUGCCUGGGUACAGAAGGGAGAAAGAGUUUUCCUUGGCAACCAGGUUCAACUGGAAAAAAAUAAUCAAGAUGUCACCUGAUGCCACAAGCUACAGACUAUGUUUUCAUCUCCGUGGACCUGCCAGUUGCUGAAGCAGCAGAGGAAACUCAGUGUCAUGGAAAGAACACUAAACUUAGAGUCAGAACCCUCGAGGAUUUUGCCAGAAAGCUGAGGAAAGAAAAUGGGAAAAAAAUACCAUAAACCCAUAGGAAAAUUCAAUGACUGUGAAUAUCUGGUGGAAAAGACACAGAAGGCACUCCGAAUGUCCUGUUUUCAAAUUCCUGAAGAAUUUUCUUUAGCCUUCCAGGAUUAUGUAUUUUACCUUCAAAAUCAAAUGUGUGAUCUUUAAGUAUCAGGGUUUGGGGGAGGUUUAAACGAGAAAAUGCAUAUGAUGGUACCAUGCUUUGUCAAAGUAAACAGCUGAUUUAAAAAAAAAAAAAGAAAAGAAAAUUCUCCUCCGGGUUCAUCAGUUUGUAACCAUAAUAAACUUGUAAGCUUUUCUCUUG